rnacentral:rRNA from 1 species
CAGUCGCCACGGGAAUACGAAGGGGGCUAGCGUUGCUCGGAAUGACUGGGCGUAAAGGGCGCGUAGGCGGCGAUCAAAGUCAGGCGUGAAAUUCCUGGGCUCAACCUGGGGGCUGCGUUUGAUACUUGAUUGCUAGAGUGGGGAAGAGGGUCGUGGAAUUCCCAGUGUAGAGGUGGAAUUCGUAGAUAUUGGGAAGAACACCGGUGGCGAAGGCGGCGACCUGGUCCUUGACUGACGCUGAGGCGCGAAAGCGUGGGGAGCAAACAGGAUUAGAUACCCGGGUAGUCCCUGUCUCUUAUAC